rnacentral:misc_RNA from 1 species
GAUGAAGAACGUAGUGAAAUGCGAUACGUAAUGUGAAUUGCAGAAUUCAGUGAAUCAUCGAGUCUUUGAACGCACAUUGCGCCCCCUGGUAUUCCGGGGGGCAUGCCUGUCCGAGCGUCAUUGCUGCCCUCAAGCACGGCUUGUGUGUUGGGCCUCCGUCCUCCUCCCGGGGGACGGGCCCGAAAGGCAGCGGCGGCACCGCGUCCGGUCCUCGAGCGUAUGGGGCUUCGUCACCCGCUCUUGUAGGCCCGGCCGGCGCUUGCCGACACAUCAAUCUUUUUUCCAGGUUGACCUCGGAUCAGGUAGGGAUACCCGCUGAACUUAAGCGUAUCAAUAAGCGGAGGA